GGCUCCGUAGCUUGAAGGAAAAGAAGCGUCUGUCUAGCAAAUCAGAAGCCAUGGGUUCAAUUCCCACCGGAGCAC
rnacentral:tRNA from 1 species